ensembl:scaRNA
UUCUCAGGUCCCCAGUGCAGCUCCCAGAUGAGCCUGCAGUAUUUUUCUUAUAUGAUCAGGUCCCACUGUGGGCAGCGCUGCUUGCCCAGAGCCUGAGAGGAUUAUGAAAUCAUGGCAAGGGUAGUGAGGCAAGGGGACCCAGCA